UCUGAUUGGUUGCGCCGCGUCCCCCUGGCGCCUCAUUGGCUCUUCUCCCUCGCCCUCCAUCCUUGCUCCUGUAGCGGUCUCCGUCUCCCAGCAGAAGACGCAGCCAUGAAUCCGUUAUUCGGCCCCAACCUCUUCCUCCUACAGCAGGAGCAGCAGGGCCUGGCCGGGCCGCUGGGGGACCCUCUCGGAGACGACCACUUCGCCGGGGGAGGGGACGUGUCCCCGGCGCCGCUCGCCCCGGCCGGCCCGGCUGCUUACUCGCCGCCCGGGCCGGGCCCGGCGCCCCCCGCCGCCAUGGCUCUCCGCAACGACCUGGGCUCCAACAUCAACGUGCUCAAGACCCUGAACCUCCGGUUCCGCUGCUUCCUGGCCAAGGUGCACGAGCUGGAGCGCCGCAACCGGCUGCUGGAGAAGCAGCUGCAGCAGGCGCUGGAGGAGGGUAAGCAGGGCCGGCGGGGCCUGGCUCGCCGCGACCAGGCCGUGCAGACCGGCUUCGUCAGCCCCAUCCGGCCCCUGGGGCUGCCCCUGAGCGCCCGGCCCGCCGCCGUCUGCACCCCUUCGGCGCGGGUGCUGGGCUCGCCCGCGCGUUCGCCAGCCGGCCCCCUCGUGCCCUCCGCGGCCUGCCACUCGUCGCCCUCCACCUCCACCUCCUACUCCUCGUCAGCCCGCUUCAUGCCCGGCACCAUCUGGUCCUUCUCUCACGCCCGCCGGCUCGGGCCGGGACUGGAGCCCACGCUGGUGCAAGGGCCUGGCCUGUCGUGGGUGCAUCCCGACGGGGUGGGCGUCCAGAUCGACACCAUCACCCCCGAGAUCCGCGCGCUCUACAACGUCCUGGCUAAAGUGAAGCGCGAGCGGGACGAGUACAAGCGGAGGUGGGAAGAGGAGUACACUGUGCGGAUACAGCUGCAGGAGCGAGUGAACGAGCUCCAGGAGGAAGCCCAGGAGGCCGAUGCCUGCCAAGAGGAGCUGGCCAUGAAGGUGGAGCAGCUGAAAGCUGAGCUGGUGGUCUUCAAGGGGCUCAUGAGCAAUAACCUGUCUGAGCUGGACACAAAGAUCCAGGAGAAGGCCAUGAAGGUAGAUAUGGACAUCUGUCGCCGCAUCGACAUCACCGCCAAGCUGUGCGACGUGGCUCAGCAGCGCAACUGUGAGGACAUGAUCAAGAUGUUCCAGUCUGCAGCCCUGCCCCCAUCCGUGUGUGUCUGCCUGUCUCUCGGUAACUCCAGUUUCUGUUCCUGUCGUUGUAACUGUGUCUUCUCUCUCUGUCCGCCCCACCCUCCCGCUGGUUCACGCUUCUCCGCCUCCCCUGCGUCCCUCUCCCCCCCCCCGCCCCGCCACCGCCCCGCCGGCGCCCACCCGCCCUUCUCCUCACGCACCCGGCCUCGUCUCUGUAGUCUCUGCACUUGUCUCCCAUUAAGGUCCCAUCCAUGGGGGGGCGGAAGCGGGAGCGCAAGGCUGCCAUCGAGGAGGACACCUCCCUGUCGGAGAGUGACGGGCCCCGCCAGCCCGAUGGGGAUGAGGAGGAGAGCACAGCCCUCAGCAUCAACGAGGAGAUGCAGCGCAUGCUCAACCAGCUGAGGGAGUAUGAUUUUGAGGACGACUGUGACAGCCUGACUUGGGAGGAGACUGAGGAGACCCUGCUGCUUUGGGAGGAUUUCUCAGGCUAUGCCAUGGCAGCUGCAGAGGCGCAGGGAGAGCAGGAAGACAGUUUGGAGAAGGUGAUUAAAGAUACGGAGUCCCUGUUCAAAACCCGGGAGAAAGAAUAUCAGGAAACCAUUGACCAGAUAGAGCUGGAGCUGGCCACGGCCAAGAAUGACAUGAACCGCCACUUGCACGAGUACAUGGAGAUGUGCAGCAUGAAGCGCGGCCUGGACGUGCAGAUGGAGACCUGUCGCCGGCUCAUUACCCAGUCGGGAGACCGAAAGUCUCCUGCUUUCACUGCGGUCCCGCUUAGCGACCCACCGCCGCCGCCGCCAAGCGAGGCUGAGGACUCCGAUCGAGAUGUCUCAUCUGAUAGCUCCAUGAGAUAGGGACCCGCCUCCAGCGCCCUGGGGCCCCACUGUGCUGGGAACUCACCAAGGCAGUGAGGUGGGGGGGUUCACAGAAGGGGAACAUCAUCCGUCCCGCCGCACCAAGCCUUGCCACUGGGGACUGGGGCGCUCCUUCCUCGGGCUUCCUGCCUGUGACCUUGGCCUCCAGGGUUCUAAGGUGUCUGGAGCGAGGCUUAGCCCGCCCGUCCCAGGUGACUCCCACCACAGCCGGGGCUCUCCUGCCUUCAUGCGUGGGUGGCUGCUACUUUCUCAUCUUUUUUUUUUUUUUUUUUUUUAAAGAUUUUAUUUAUUUACCUGAGAGAGAGAGCACAGAGGGAGAGUGAGAGGGAGGAGCAGGGAGCCCGAUGCGGGGCUUGAUCCCAGGUACCUGGGAGCAUGGCCUGAGCCAAAGGCAGACACUUAACGACUGAGCCACCCAGGCGCCCCUACUUUCUCAUCUUUAAAAUGCUGCCAGAGCGAUCGUGGCCCCUUACUUUGUCCACUGAGUAAGGAAUGUGAUCAUCAGAUUUUCCUUCCGUUUCUGUGGCCUCAAGCCAGCUUACGGUCUGAUUCUGUACUGGUGCUAACUGGCCCAGGCACUGGUAUGAAGUGGGUGAGGCUGGACGUUGCAUGGCUUGUGCAACACAUGCUGUGGGAGAGGGCCGCCCCCCCCUCCUCGUGGCGCAGGUGGGAGGACGGCCUGGGCAGGUCGCUCUGUCCUCCCUCCGUCGGCCUAGUGCUCCUGGCCGGCCGUCUGCCCUGGGAUGGAAGCGAUGUGGUGGCCAUCCUUCCCUCGGGCAGUGCCUGCCUUCAGGGGGCCUUAGUGCCUAUCUGGGCAGCUUCUGGGAAUGACUGGGUGCAGCGUCGUGGAGGGAGAUGGAAGCCCCUGCUUGUUUCCAGUCAGCGCUGAGGGGCAGAGAAAAAGGUGAAGCUCCUUGUGCGUGCGUGCAUGCGUGCGUGUGCUCAGGGUCUCCAUCUCUUCAAGCAUCUCAGCUGAAGAUGCGCCUCUUCCGUGUCUGUCAUGCACUGAGAGCAGCAGGCUAAGAUGUCCGGAUUUGGAGAAGCUUGGGGGAACCUGGGGGCGCGCGAAUGAGGACACAUCACAUCAGUCUGCCUGCCUGAGGGAGGCUGGGCUGACAUUGGAAUGGAAUCUUUAAUAAUAAUCAAACUGGAGAGUA